AAGGAACGGUGAGCUUCUGUCCUCCGGGGAGGCGCCCCGCGGCAAUCCGUGGCCCCGCGACCGACAGCUUACCUCAACCUUACCGACGAACCUAAAUUCUAGAAUGAUGAGCAAAGGAGAAACCGGUAAAAUCCCAUAAAAAUUCUGUGCACGGGAGUCCGGACGAAGACGCAGGGCGCAAACAGCUGUCCGGACUGCUGAGCGUGGAUGGACUCAUGCCAGUCGCAUUAAAGGCCCAGUGACGAGACCCCACUGGAAAGUAAUCGGUACUCCAGGUGACACCAAGAUAACUCUGAAAAGAUAACGUAAUGAUAAGAACUUUAGUUGAUUAUUUUGCCGCAUUACCUUUUGGUAUAAAGUGUAUAUUGCUGUUUAUAUUUGCUAUAAUUAUCUUUUUUUUUUAUCUAUUAUAUAUGGAAGCGUACAAAGUGUGUUGAAGGAAAUUGCUAAACUUAUGCAGUAACACAAUAUUGAAUAUAGAGGAAAAGCUAAUAAGCACUCUAGAUAUACGAAUUAGAUGCAAUCAUUUGAACUGCGAUUGUUAUCCAUUUGCUCGUUGCAAGUGUAAGGUAUGCCAGGAUAAAUGGUGGACACACUGUGAAUAUGGAUACCCUCCGAUAGGAGUUUGCACACAGUGUUGGAAAAUCCAAAGAACUCUCACUGAGUGGAAAUUAAAAACAA